rnacentral:rRNA from 1 species
CCAGACUCCUACGGGAGGCAGCAGUGGGGGAUAUUGCACAAUGGGGGGAACCCUGAUGCAGCGACGCCGCGUGAGUGAAGAAGUAUUUCGGUAUGUAAAGCUCUAUCAGCAGGGAAGAAGAAAGACGGUACCUGACUAAGAAGCCCCGGCUAACUACGUGCCAGCAGCCGCGGUAAUACGUAGGGGGCAAGCGUUAUCCGGAUUUACUGGGUGUAAAGGGAGCGUAGACGGCUGUGCAAGUCUGAAGUGAAGGCCAAGGGCUCAACCCUGGGACUGCUUUGGAAACUGUGGAGCUAGAGUGCUGGAGAGGUAAGUGGAAUUCCUAGUGUAGCGGUGAAAUGCGUAGAUAUUAGGAGGAACACCAGUGGCGAAGGCGGCUUACCGGACAGUAACUGACGUUGAGGCUCGAAAGCGUGGGGAGCAAACAGGAUUAGAUACCCUUGUA